rnacentral:tRNA from 1 species
GGUAAAAUGGCUGAGGAGGAAAAUCGAGGUGAUAGAUUGUAAAUCUAUUUAGGAGAAUUGAUUCUCUUUUACCA